rnacentral:rRNA from 1 species
UGUGGCGUGAGGAAGUCCGUCUCCGCGGUCGGUUCGACGGCGCCGAGGUCCUUCUGAUCGAGGCCUCCGCGCGUCCCAGGGCGGGUGUCAGGCCCCUUCGGGCGCCGUCCGGCCGCGGAAGUCUGAGGGCUUCCAGGAGUCGGGUUGUUCUGUAUUGCAGCCCCAAGGCGGGUGGUAAACUCCAUCCAAGGCUAAAUACCGGCACGAGACCGAUAGCGAACAAGUA